ACAUUAGCAUGGGAUAAUGGAAUAGGACCUGUCCUCCUAUUUUCAGUUGGUUUUGGCAGCGCAAGGACUAGGGUAAUGAUUAAUAGGGAUAGUUGGGGGCAUUAAUAUUUAAUUGUCAGAGGUGAAAUUCUUGGAUUUAUGAAAGAUUAACUUCUGCGAAAGCCUCUGCCAAGGAUGUUUUCAUUAAUCAAGAACGAAAGUUAGGGGAUCGAAGACGAUCAGAUACGUCGUAGUCUUAACCAUAACGAUGCGACAGC
rnacentral:rRNA from 1 species